UUUUCUUUCCCCUAGUCCUUCGCCCACUUCGCUUCCUUACGCCUCAUUCCUUAAUGAAUCGUCUUGUCCGUCCUCCGCCGGGUGCUUUGCCUCGCCGUGCUCUGCUCUUCCGUCUCAUUGUCAUUCCCCUUACGUCGGAUUGUGUCGAUCUGCUUCCUUUCUGUGGCAACCACGAGCGACGCUCGCCAGAUGUGUGCUGGUUUCUGGGCUGCCAUUCAAAAACAUUGGAAAUGAGACACAUGGCUCUUUGGUCAAUGAAGAAGGAUCCAGAUCUUGAGGCGGCUCUCUCACGAAAUCGUCGGUGGGUUGUCAACAAUCAGAUCAAGAAUAUAAUCCUUGCAUGUCCUGGCCAGGUGACACCUGUCAAAUUUCUCCAGAAGAAGUUUAAGACUCUUGAUCUUCAAGGGAAAGCUCUAAACUGGCUAAAAAAGUAUCCUUGCUGCUUUGAAGUUUAUCUCAAGGGUGAUGAAUAUUAUUGUCGUUUAUCAAAACGGAUGAUGUAUUUGGUGGACGAGGAAGAGUCAGUGAAAAAUAUGCAAGAGCGAGUUUUCGUGGAACGGUUGGCAAAACUGUUGAUGAUGAGCACAAAUCAGAGGCUUAAUGUUACAAAGAUCAAUGAGUUGAAACGAAAUUUUGGGUUUCCAGAUGAUUACAUGCUGAGGAUUGUUGCAAAGCAUGGGGAUAUAUUUCGGGUUGUAAAUCAUAGUGGUAGAAAGAGUUCUAUGGAGCUCGAGCUUAUAUCAUGGUACCCUGAUUUAGCUGUCUCUGCAAUUGAAGCUUCAGCUCACAGGCAUGGUUCUGAGCCAUGUUUUUCAUGUUCAUUGCCUUCAACCUGGGCUAAAUCAUGGGAGAGGUUUCAUGAAUUUAAUGCAACUCCUUACAUUUCUCCUUACGUGGAUUCUAGAGGUUUAAUAGAGGGAUCCAAGGAAGUGGAGAAGAGGACAGUGGGUUUGGUCCAUGAGAUUCUAUCAUUGACCUUGUGGAAGAGGGCAUCAAUCUUGAAACUUGCUCAUUUCAGGAGAGAGUUUUCUUUACCAGAGAAAUUGAAUAUUUUGCUGCUGAAGUACCCCGGUAUUUUCUAUGUUUCAAACAAAUAUCAACUAUAUACUGUUCUUCUCAGGGAAGGAUAUAAUGGAUCAGAAUUGGUUGAAAAGGAUCCUCUGGUUAUUGUCAAGGAGAAGUUUGGAGAAUUAAUGCAAGAGGGGCUUCAUGAGUUCAAUCGAAGGCAUUAUCUAGCGAAUUUGGAGAAGAAAAGGAGAAUUGGGAUACAUGUAGAUAGAUUAGAGAAAAGGAAGGAGAAAAGUGAUGAACUUCCUGAACAGGAUCAAGGAGAAGGACUAGGAAGUUUGUUUGACCCAGAAGAAAGACGGCGAUUUUACGACGUUCUCUUUGACAACAGCGCUCCUUGAGAUUUAGCUAAGAAAGCAAGCCAAAUUGGUGGUUCUAUAGAACGAGGGAAGCAAAGCCAAGCAAAUUUCUAUACAGGAGGACCUCAACAAUGCAAUUAGGAGUUAAACUUGUCUCACAUAUGGCUACAACCUUCAGAGGGGCCAAUGGCGGAGAUGUUGUUGUCAUAGCCAGCUCAUGAGAGCACGCUAUGUCUGUGUGCUUUUUCGGGAGUGGGAGGAUUGCCGGACGGCAUGGAGAUGGACAAACCAGGGGAGGAAUUGCUUGAGGAGCAAGUUGGUGUUAAAGAGAGCUGUGCGCCCGGAAAGUCAAUAAGGGAAAAGAUUAAAUAGUAUGAGAGAUGAAGAGCCGCCAAUCUCCUAAGGGACCAAAGAUCCAAGGAAAUGAUUUGAUCGGGCAAGCGGAGAACUCCCGAAUUGAGAGCGCCAAGGAUGU